ensembl:lncRNA
CCCCGGCCCGACCCGAGGCCGUCCCCUCUCAUCCUACCUCCCAUACCCAGAGCAGAGGCCGCCCCCCACCUCACCACCACCUCCUCUCAGCUGUAGGGUCUCUCCUGGGCGCUGUGCUGUGCUGCAGACGGACCCAUCCCGUUCCCCCAUUGCUCCCCAUGAGGCCUGGGGGGGCGCUGGGCUGUGGGUGAAUGGCGUUGUCUCUGGCAGCACAUACAGCAAGGUAACGUGGAGAAAGGGAGGCUCAGAACUGUGGAAAAUUGUCAUAUUUGAAGUUCAGAACUAAAGUCAAUCUGGUUUUCCUGCAGGUGUUAGCAAAUAUUACAGAGCAGUUUAUUUGUAUGCAGUUUUGCUUGUUUUUCUCACCAUUUUUAUCCACUGUAAUAUUUCACAUCAUAGAAUCAUAGAACUCAAUCACUGAGGCUGGAAAGGACCUCUGAGAUCAGCAAACAACUGAUGGCCAAAGCGCACACGAGAGUUUCUGCAAACCUCCACUUGCAAGGAGUGCUGUCCUCGUUACUCACUUGUUCUAAUUGUGAGGUGUUGGAAAUAUUUGUGUUGCUGUAUUUGACUCGUGUCAGGCAGAUGAGGAAGAUCAAUGGGUGCCUGGGCAGUCUGACCUGGUGGCUGGCAGCCCUGCCCACAGCGGGGGGUUGGAACUCAAUGACCAACCCAACCAUUCUAUGACUAUCAUUAUUUGAAUGUGAGCUUUUAAUUGCUAUCAUUUCAGAUCAAAUGCCAAAUCUUUGGUGUUUGUGAGGAACAAAUGCCCAACAGCCAUCCCAUGGUAUGUCAGUGCUUUGUCUGACUGUAGUGUGAAGGUGUUGCUCAGGACCAGGGACACGUGGAGCUAUCGGUAAGGCUGUGAUUUCUUCUCCUCUGAAUUUGUACAGAGGGAUGAAGGGUGACCUCAUUGCAGCCUUCCAGGACCUACAGGGAGCCUCCAAACAGGAGGGGAGGCAACUGGGGAGUUGCUCUUUACAAAGUGGUCUGCAGGGCACUGCUGUCUUCAUGUCACUUGAACACAAAGCUGAUGGAAAGGGGAAUGCCUAAAGAUCAAAAGCCAAAUCUUUGGUGUUUGUGAGGAAAAAAAAUGCCCAGCAGCCGUCCUGCAGCACAUCAGUGCUUUGUCUGACUGCGGUGUGAAGGUGUUGCUCGGGACCAGGGACACUUGGACUGGUUGAGGAGCAGCACCUUGAAGGAACAUCCAGACACAGCCUUCCUGCUUCCUGACCUCAGCACAGGGAUGCUGAUCUCUGCAAUGCCCUGUCCUUGUCCCCAGGCUCCUCCAGCCCCUUCUUCCAGCCCAGCCCCUCUCACUUGCAGCUCAGCAGUGUAGGUGAGGAUUAAAAAUCAAAAGCAUCCUGCAACAACUACUCCUCUACCUAGGAAAGCACCAAGUCACUCCUGGUUCUACCGCUGUGAUGAGCAAAGGAAACCUUGAGGGAUAGGUUCGGACUUGUUACACUUAGCACUGCUCCCUUCCUCUUUUAGCUAGUAGGCAAUUAUCAGAUCCGAUCAACAGAAACAGACCUUUCCCAGAGCACAGCUCUUGUGCAGUGUUCUGCAGGUUUGGCCAACUGCACGCCUUCGGUGCUUCAGAUCCAUCUCAACGGUGUUCAGUGUGGCACUCGUGAAUCUUCACUGGGCCCUUCACUGUCCAGGAGGGGACAAUGGGCUGAGCUCUUCCAUCGAGCCUGCAGUCCCCAUUACACCGCUUUCACUCCCAGCAGCUAUUCAGUUCCUGAGUUCUAUAGUUCCUGCAUUUACUGCCUCCCAUGCAUGGGCUGUUCUCCCUCUCUGAUGCAUAGAAAUGUUGAUCUAAACUAUGAGUUGGCAGCUUGGAAGCUUUUCUUCCAGGUACAAUCUCUGCUUCCUAAGCAGGUUUUUGAGGAUGUGUCUAUUGCAGCUUUCAGCACAUCAGUGACAAUCACAGCCAACCUCAUGGUCACUGAGAACUUCAGUUUGCUGCUUGGCCUCUUUGCCUGGAAACAACAGGAUGUUUGUUUGAGAAUGGAGCAAACAAGAUGUGACACUGUGGAGGCUUUUCAGCUUAAAGGGACCACUUCCAUCCCGGAACGCCGGUCUCAUCCCAGCUCUGCAGGCAGCCACGGCACGUGGGCCUUUUUGGAAAUGCACCUGAAGACCGUUCUGGGAUCCUUCCAUCCCACACUUCCUGGCAGGCUGCUCCAGAGCCUUCCUCCUGAGGUUGUGAGUGCUGACUUCUAAACGCUGGGAUGUUCCCACUCGUCUCCACAGCAGUACCCCUCACACUCAGAAAGGUGGUGCUCUUGCAUAUUUUUACUCUUUUUUCUUCCUUCCUUUGUAAGGCUAAAUCAGUAAAGCUCCUCAAGCCUAAUGAAACAGCAGGUUUUUACUCUUUGCAGUACUCUUAAGAAGUGAUAAAUAUCGCCUGGAUUUAAACGUUACUGCCAGUCACGUUUGUUGUUGCAGUGAUCUCAAGCUCGUGUUGUCUCUGACAGCUGAAGGACAGCAGAGCUCCAGGAACUGAAGCCUUUCAGUCAAGUGAACUCUAAAGUAAGAAAACAAUCGUAUUGGUUUGUCUCAAUCAUCUGUGGCCAUUCUGAGAACGUGCAAAUGGCUCAUUAGCAGUUGUAGUGCUUACAGCAGUUAUUAAAUUCUGCUGGGCCAGUAGGCAAAGUCAAACUGUGUUGCAGUUGCAGAUGAAGUUGGUGCAAAGCAGCAGGGAUGAGGGCUGCAGUGGUGUGUCAGCUGUGGGUCACCACUGCGAGCUGCCUGCACAACAAAGCCUGUAAUUUAAUGCCCUUGGCAGUUAUUUGUGCAUCAGUAUCUCAUGAUGCAGGCUGACAAAAACAUUUCCAAUUCAGAACAUAAGAAAAAGUAUAAAAAUGGGAGUGAUACCACAUGUCUGUGCUGGUUCCCAGUCACUCUGAAUGGGUUAGAUGGUGCUUAUCUCAAUUUCAGAACAGUAAGCUUGGCCUGCAGGGUGGAUUUCAUGCUCUAAGUAUGCAGACAAAACUCUUCCUGGUUGGAGGAUAAUUCUGAUGAGUUCUCGAGUCACCAAUCCAAGAAUGGAGGUGUGGAAGGAGCCCAAGGGGAGCAGCUGCUUCCAUCAGUGAGGGAGCAGGUACUGA